AGAGGCAAGUUUCUUCCAAACAUACCAAGUAAGAGUAUGUAUGGCACAAACUUGUACUCUGU
rnacentral:pre_miRNA from 1 species